AGUGAACGCUGGCGGUAGGCCUAACACAUGCAAGUCGAACGGCAGCACAGUAAGAGCUUGCUCUUACGGGUGGCGAGUGGCGGACGGGUGAGGAAUACAUCGGAAUCUACUUUUUCGGGGGGGAUAACGUAGGGAAACUUACGCUAAUACCGCAUACGUCCUACGGGUGAAAGCAGGGGAUCUUCGGACCUUGCGCGAUUGAAUGAGCCGAUGUCGGAUUAGCUAGUUGGCGGGGUAAAGGCCCACCAAGGCGACGAUCCGUAGCUGGUCUGAGAGGAUGAUCAGCCACACUGGAACUGAGACACGGUCCAGACUCCUACGGGAGGCAGCAGUGGGGAAUAUUGGACAAUGGGCGCAAGCCUGAUCCAGCCAUACCGCGUGGGUGAAGAAGGCCUUCGGGUUGUAAAGCCCUUUUGUUGGGAAAGAAAAGCAGCAGGUUAAUACCCCGCUGUUCUGACGGUACCCAAAGAAUAAGCACCGGCUAACUUCGUG
rnacentral:rRNA from 1 species